rnacentral:lncRNA from 1 species
AUGUCUCUGUUGUGUCCAGGAGACUGUGUGAGGAAGGCGAGAAUGUCUCCCGUGCUGUCCAUCUCCUGCCUCACUAGGGGAGCCAAAAUCUUGUCCCCUGAGGUGCUGGGUGUCCAGCUGUCAGGGCUGACUAGUGAUGCUUUUGCAGCAACCAUGGCGACUUUUGUGGAACUCAGCACCAAAGCCAAGAUGCCCAUUGUAGGCCUGGGGACCCGGCAGUAAAUGUGCAAAUCUGGGAGUCCCUGCUUUGUUGGAGAGCUUUGGGGAGACUUUCUCUUUUCUGCGUUGAGUUACACCUGGCAAUAUGAGAGGUGCACUUCUACCCUACAGCCAGUACCUUAGCUGCUUUCAUUUUUUUUAGGACUCUUUUAUGCUGCAGAUCACAAAGACUGG